UUGCAAUGAAUCAGAGUCAUGCUGCAGAUUUUGUCUGGCAUACUGGGUCUCUGGAGGAUAGAAAAUAAUUUGGUCGCAGCAGUGGGAGGUGUGUGUGCGUGGAGAAGGGAGUUGCUUUCCAACAGCCUGCUGUGGUGCAGCAGAGCGGUGAAGCCCCAGGAGCCUGAAGGAAAUCCAGAGCCUGGCUGUGGCUGUGCAAACCUGCUCUGCGUCCUCCCAGCCAGCAUGGUUUGGGCUGGGGAACUGACCCCACCCCACCAUCUCUGCCUGGGAUAAAGGGAGCUUGUUUCUGCUUUAGCUCACUGCAAUAUCUCCUGCUGGCAGACUUUCCAAUUAGGGAGCCAAGUGGGAGUCAGGAGAGACCCCAGGGUGGAUUUCACACUCGUUCUUUAUUUAUAUGUAAACCUGGACGUGGGGCUGAGCUGCUGAGCAAGUGAGAGAAGCAGUAUUGAGGGAGGGGGGAGCCAGCCCAGGGAACAGAGGUCUUUGCAGCCCUCAUUUGAAGUGUGUGUGGGACAGGGCUGAGCAAGAGCGAAAGUCUGGCUUGCAUUUCCCACCUGUUUCAGCUGCUGGGGGGAUGCCAGGUUCAUGUUUUCUUCUCAGUCCCUACUUGUGCCUCCCAGAAUGGCACUCGAGCAUCGUUGAACACUAGGGACUGACAGUUGUCUCCUGGCGAUGUAGGUGAGCACCCUAAUGCACCCCAGUGUCCUUCUGGCCACACACAAAGGGGAAUUGUAACCAGGUGGGUUACUGGCUCUGGCCCAACAUUCUUCCUCUCCUGUCCUGGUUCCUGACAGUGCCCCAGAGCCAAGCACUGUGUCCAUCUGUUGUAGCCAACCGAUGGUGCUUGAGCCAGAGGGCACACAGACCAGAGGUGCGACUGGGAGCAGUGGAUGCCGCACGUGGGACUGUGACACCUUCCCUCCUGGCGUACCUCCAUCCUGUGCUCUCUUCUUUUUCCACUGGGUGCAAACUGGGUGCUCUCUUCUGUUUCCACCAUUGCAAACUGCCAAAGCCAACUGGCCACCCUCUCUUUUUAAAAUAUUUAAUAAAAACAAUCAUAGC